GAGAGCCAAAGCCCCCGGUACCUCGGAACCGCUCCCGAGUUAAAAAAUGACCUUUCCCUGCAUAAUUUUGGAGGUAACCUAGCUGCGUAAUUAUAUUUGCACUUACAGAAGACUGCAUCAGAGUUCCCUUAUUGGUUUGAAAUUCCAUUAAAUAUAUUGCAAGAGCUCCUAGGUUAAGCUUGAUUUAAAUUUGCAUACAUUUUCAUAUAUUUAGCAGAAAUAAAAGAAGGCUUGCAGCUACCAGAAAGUCAUUAAGGCAUUAGUUUCUCUGAGAAGACAGAUCUGAAGAAAAUUCAAGAAAAUGAGAAAAUAGAUAUAAAUAAGGUGGAGUUGAAUACAAUGCCCGCAUUUGUGGUUAACUACAAGCAAUACAUUAUGAAGAUGAUGGUAUUCAGACACAUACCCAAACAAUUUGAUUCAGAUAAAUUGGAUACAAGACUUUGACCAGCAUGAGAAGAACAGGUGGCUGAAGUGCUCCAAAGGGAAGUGUUUGAAGAUGGGAACCACCUCCGGGACUCUCCGGACCCAUGAAGCUGCCAGGGCGGAGGGAAGCUCCAUCUCCAGGGACGCCCAAGGCAUCAUGGAGAGAGGCAGCAUCGCAGACCUGCUGGAGGAGCUCAGCAGGAGAAGAGCCAGCGCCGCACCGACGAUGUGAGUGGUUUGAGCAGAGGUCUGUGGUGGUCCAGCUCAUUGGAAACUUUCGUGUUCAAACCAGGAGGGUGCUAUAGACAGAGCUAAUCUGCGAGGUUCUGGAAUCCCACCGAGGAUGCACAGAGCUGAUCUCUAAGUCUGUGAUAUCUGCUGCCGCUGUAAGUGUGAAAAAGAGAUGCCUCUACCUGCUCUUUCUCAGUGCCCUGUAAUGAAAAACGCUUUUGGAGCAACACUGGAAAUAAGCCAUCAAACUAUCUGAUUAAACCUCUUAGGAAACUGUCACUAAUCACCUUCUCUGCUCUUGAUGGAAUAUAUUUAUGCAUUAUAAAUAUACUUACUAUGUGUGUGUGCUCCAUAAAUCACAUUCAGCACUUGUAUAUGAUGUAUAAGCAUAUUCUAUAGAAUACACACAAAUACAGAUGCCAAACUCCCACAGAGUUCAUCACUGGAAAAUGUUUGAAGGAUCUGAUCCUUAAUAUUUAAUGAGCAAGAUGCUAUUUCCUUCCUCAGCUUUUAUCUCUGGUUUGGCAUAGUCAUUAAAUUUGUUGUUUCCUUGCAAGAUUAUAUAAUUUAUGACCUAAUUUUAGACUUCUGUGUAACUGCGCUAAAAUACUCGUUGCGUAUCUGGAUUUCUUCACGCGGAGUGUUUCAGCAUUAGACACCUGCCAGAACAUGACUGCUCAGCUACGAGCUUCCCAUCAGUAAGGAGUUACAGGCAUUAAAGGAAAACAGCCCGACAAUAUUCAGAUGGCAUUACAGGAUUAGAUUAUGUUUGUGGUUGUUCUUUUUUCCCUGUAAAAAUAUGAUUUAGCAGCAUUUCCAAAGCCCGCUGUCUGCAGCGGUUGGCAGGAAUCCCCAGGUAAUACACUAAUCACCCAGCAACUCCUAUUGCUUAAAAUAUUUUCAUGUAGCAGCUUCUGACUUUCAGACCACUCUGGGACAAAUCCAUGCAGCCUUCCUCGCAGGGAGGGAUGUAGGGAGCUGAGGACAGCGGGUGAAGAAUGACACUUACUGCUUUAAAGUGACUUUCAGUCUCCUCGCCCUUGGGAAGGAACCGCUUGCUCUGCAGCACCAGCCUGGCUGGGCUGAUUCUUUUGCUGCACAAGGUGUUGCCAGAUAACUCCUAAAUGAAUUACGCUAAAGCUGCAGCCGCAUUUUUUUUGUGCCUUCUGUGUGUCCAGGGUAAUUCAGCGGUGUCAUAAAUAGAGCCAUGAGUUUCAGGUAUUUUGUCAAUUUAAACCAUAUUGUUUGGACCAGUCUUUCAUCAAAUUUAAUAUAUCGGCUAUUGCAUUAAUGCGUUUUGAGAGCACUUUAUUCUGGCGUUUAAGAGGGAAGUGGCUCGCGGUUGAGGACAAGGUUAGAUGCUUGCCUUGUGGCCGCAGCGCAGUUACGAGGCUUUUUUUCCUCUUUUUCUACCUUACCCCGAGGUAUCUAGCACGGGUGCCAGAGGUGGGGUGCUGCACCCUCAGACCAGCACCCAGAGCGAUUGGGACCACGUACCUGCAGCCGAGUGCACCCCUCUAACAUGCACAGGAGAGGGCACCUACAGGCUUUUUGGGGUCGGACUGGUGCGUUCCCAGCUGGGAAGCACAGCCGCUUCCCUACCGCGCAGGUGAGGUGCCAAGGGCAGCCUGGGGCUUGUCACCGCCUUCAAGCGCAGUUGAUAUAAUUGUAUUUAUCCAUGAAGGGACAGUAAAAUUUUUUUCAGAUUGUGCCAGUGACGCUCCAAAACUAAAAAGUUUUAGCUCUCCGUUUGUCUCCCGUACCCACUACUCGUCUCCCUGCCUCGAUCCAGCUCCUACUUUUGUUCACCUCCAAGAGCACGGCCGGGUGCCUUUCAGCAUCUCCUCGGGAAAAGUGCCACAUCUGCGGAGCUCAGGAAAGCGGGACCCGUCGGUGCCAGCCGGAGAGGGCUGUCUUUGAUCAUCGUCGUCUCUCAUCCAUCGCUUUUUUACUGAAGUUAAAUUCUUCUGAACUUACAUUGCCUUAAAGGGUCUACCUGGCUCAGCGGGUGCCAGGCUUAGGAUGUUUCAGAGAGUUUUUGGAUCAUUUUGAACAAAUUUUUAAGGUUCGUGGGCCUUAUACAGCCUGUCAGGCAGGUGGACUCUUUUCUACUCUCUGGGCAUGUAGCCCUGAAAACGCCCUCUCAUUUCUAGAUGUAAGGCGAGGUAAAAAGGUCAGAAUAGUCCUAGAUCAUGUUUCUGAAGAUUGGCGGUGUAUAAUAAUUAUUAACAGUUUCUGUAACGGUGCAGGUUACAGACAUGGGACCAAACACCUGCAGUGAACCUCCCCAGGCGAAAUUCUCCUUGGCUUCAAUCACGGUUUUUCCGGAGAAGAGACUGCUGGCUGCGCUCAGGGCAAUCCGCCUGUUCCUGGUUUAAGAGGCACUUAUAAUCUACAGCUAAGAGACUUAUUAGCAAUGUAAAAAUGAAUUUGAAGCAAGAAAAGUAUUCUUCCUAGAAGAAAUAUAUUUUUUGUAAAAUUAGUUUUGCUGACAGAAGUAAUUGGGCUGACUCCUUGUGACCGUGGAUGUUAUUUGUUGCCCCUUAUCUCACCAAAGCAAAGGGUACCAAAUACUUUGAACUUUGUAAAUAAUUGUUUCCAAAGUGUUGGUUUUUUUCUCUAUAUAAAUUCUUUAGAGAAAAGCUGCCUUCUAAUCCUUUCUCUUCCAAAGCUUUUACAGCUCAGCUUCUUCCCACUCUAGAUAUCUUUUAUUUUCCCGUUUUGGGUUUUAAUAUUUCUUAGAUAUUAGAAAAGUCUCUUUUAAGGGUAAAUCUAGAGCUUUUGCUCAGAUUGGAAAAGUCAUUCCUAAAGCUUUAAUAAACUGGAGAGAGAGAGAAAAAAAAAAAAAUAAAAGAACAUUAUUUCGAGCUGCCGCAGAUGCUGGCGUUGUGGCUCGGAGACGCGUGCCAAGAGCCCGACCAGUGCCCAGAGCCCGGGUCCUGGCCAUCGGUCUGGCUGUUUUUUCUCGCUCCUUGUACCCGGCUGGUGCAAACGGCCGGCGGAGGGGUUGGUCCUUCGCUGAUUCUUCAUGUCUUCUGGGCUGGUCAGGAGCCGGGAGCUGCUCUGCCCCCUCCUGACCCCCCCACCGGUGCUCGCUAUCCCCUCGUGUGCUGAGGAGAGGGGCACGGUUUUCUUACAAACGCAGUUUUUGUGGAUUUUAUUUCACUUUUGCAACCACGGCAACAAAUACUAACGCAGAAACGGGACAGAAAGCUGUCCCAGAGUGUGUGUUUUUAAAGCAGUGUCAGAGGCCUGCAGGAAAUCCACGCUUACUAUUUGCAUAAAAACAAGCACACUCACCGAUGUGGGAGAGGUGAAAUGCUGGAAAAGCAAGACAUGGCUUACUCCACCACCCUGGAAAGUUGAACGCGAUGGUUUUAGUUAUUUGUCUAUCUGCUAUCUAUCUAUUUGUUUACUUAUUUUGUCUAAAGACACAACUAAUGAGAAAUGUAUGUCUCUAACCGGAGCGGUUACCUCACCUCGGGUUCUCAGAAGCGACAAGGAUGGGUAUGGUUUGGGCAGACCUGUAUAGCCCAGAAAAAUAAAUUACAACUUCCCGUGCUCCUGUUGCCACUGGAGCGGGAUGGGUGUUCGAUCCCGGUCUUCAGCCUAAGGCAGCAACCUAAGCCAGGGAGCAGCAAAGCCCAGGCAUCCGUGGGCAACUUCUGGAGUCGCAAAGGCUUCGUAGCAGAUCCCAAAGGAAGGAUCUUGUUGAGACACCUUGUUGUGUCAGUCUCAAACCAAGGGCACAAAACCCCCAGGGCCAGCGCAGGGGCUCGUCAGCCCUUCGUCUAGUCAGGAUCCAGCUGCUGGUGAGGGAUGCUGAUGUGUUUGUGCCGUGGUGCCGUUCCCCAGCUGUCCGCCGGCGCCAAGGCGGGCGCAAGUAAUUCCUGUUAAGCCCAGCUGUGAGACUUACUUCUUGAGUCUUCAGGUAAGAAAUUGAUGGUAGGAGGCUCCCACCAAGACUGAUCUUCCUUCCUUCCUUCUGUCCGUCCUUCCUUCUUUCCUUCCCCUCCUCCAAAGCCUGCGUUUUCAGGUCUUAGAUGCCACCAGCAGCUCCUUGGGCGCUUGGUUGAUGGUUUGCUCCCUGACCCAGCUGAAGCCGUAAGGAAUUUAAAAUCUCCAGUAUUUUUUUCUUUAAAAAAAAAAAAAAAAAAAAAAGUUUACUAUUUUUAAGAAGGCACCUUACAGCAGAGUCCAAAUGGGAAUGUUUGCAUUCGAUACCAUCCGUCAACGCCGCGACACCGAGGGAGCGGCUACUCCAGCUCCUCUCGUCGCGGUGGACAGAAGGAGCUGUCAGGGAGCCGCGUGCGGCCGCCGCGCCGAGCGGGGUGGGAGCCAUGCUGGCAGAGAUCCCUUCCGCAGAGGGGAUUUCUGCACUGACAAUUUUUGGCUCCUUUAGGUUACUUUGGAGCUGCACAGAAUAUGUAAUGUUCUGCACUCGCGGAGGGGCUGACAGGGAACUUAAAUACAGAUUGCAAAGAUAGAUCAUCUCCCAGCAUCACUUUGUUUUCUGCUGCUCUAAAAUCAUUUUACUUGUUCCUGCAGCUACUAUAAAGCCAGAAGAGCUCUCUAUAUUUGCUUCCCGGAUGCCUUUUUCUCCUCUGCUUACAACUAUAAAAGCAUCUUUUCAUGCUCCAAAUCAGAGAUAAAUUGAAAUCUCUGCUGAAGAAAUAAAACACAAGGCUAAUCAAAUUGUAGCACAGGAAGCAGCCUUCAGCCAGUGCAUUUUUUGAGAGCUAUUUUUAGAAUAUAUUUUUAUUUUGUCACUCCAUAUGGGAAGUCAAACCCAUAUGGUUUGGGAGAAUGGAAGGUUGUGCUUUUAUAGAGAUCUCACAAACCAUCCCUGCUCAGCCACGUACUUAAACAUGUGCUUAAAUCCAAUUGUCUGCGAUGGGACUGAAGCACAUAAACUCCUCGUGACUGGGGCCUCGGGCCCUGUCUGAGGUUGUAGCAGUAUUAUUCCCUCCUGAGAUGUAAAACUAUUCCAUAUUCGUUAAACCAGUCUCCAGUUAACUUGGCUCUUCUUAAUUACGACAUUUCUUAUUCAUACACCUUCCUUUUUUUUUUUUUUCCUUUUCAUUUCUUCAUUUCUUCUCCAUCGUUUGGAUGCCCUGAUGAACGCGGGUGGUCCAGUACCAGCCAGGAUGCAAAGCGGAACAUCCCUAGCCAUCGCUCUCCCGCUCUUCACAGUACAUGUUGCUACCCUGCAAAUAUCAAGAUUAAUGUAGUGUCGGGGAAUAUGACUGUAUUCUGCCCACAACACCGCGGCACCUUCUGAGUAUGCUGAUGAAGCAAUAAUUGGCUAGAAAAGGGAACAGUUCUCCACUAUUUUUGGGGGAUAAAGUGCAAUGGGAAUAGGACUGCGCAGUGGAGAAUUCAGUGUGGCACAAGGAUGGGAAGCAUGAAGAUUUCUGAGCUGGUUUGGAUGCUGCUUCCACCAAGUAGAAGGGAUGUUUUACUAGAAUUGUUCAUCAAAACUGAGACUCGUAUGGAUUAUUCUAUUGGAAAAUCAAGAAAACAACCACUGAUUUUUUUCCCCAUGAAUACAAAGCAGAGAUCUUGUGUAAGAGGAGACAAUGUUAAAAUAACCAAGCACCAGAAGGGUCUAAAAGGAAAAGCCUGAGGUUAGAGCAGAAAGAAACUGUGAAAAGUUUUAAAAGAAAUUUUAUAAAGCCAUAUUUGUAUUCACAAUCUAUGAUCAUUUUGAAAUCAAAAUAACUACUGUUAGAUUAUUUGCUCAAAGCGGCUUUAUAGUCAGAAAAAAACCCCAUUACUUGUAUCCCACUUUAAAAAAUAAUUCUAUACCAUUCUGAAAUCUCAAAAGACAAUAAAAAUCACCUGGAUUUACAGUGCUCGGGUGUAUUGGAGUUAGAUGCAAGCAGCUGGGUUUUCCCAGGAACGUUAUUCUGGAAUAUUUGAAUAACACGCCUUUUGGACCAGGUGCUUGGGGUGUGUGUGUGACGUGGGUGCGUGAGCCCUAUGAGGUGGAGUCGUGAUGUCGCUGCGUUCCUGUGCAUCACAGCACAGCUCAACAUCAUGACCCCAGUGAAACCAAGCAAGAGUUUGCCCAUGACUUCAGUGGAGCCAGAACUUCAUCCCAGGCCCGGAGCAGCUGAUGGAGAGUGCCACGGGCUGGCGACCUGAGGCAAUUUCAAGUCAGUGACGUAGAGGUGAAAAAAUUCCUUGUCACAUAACAGAUCUCAUCGACAACCCAGGGUACCCAAAUUUCACUUUGGAUUUUCUACUGAAUUUCCAUUCCCCUUGCAACUAUGUAGAUAAUAUGUUAAGGCAUUAUUCUUAAAAAAGUAAAGAAUUCAUUUCUUUAAGAGAUGGGCGAUUUGUAGAAGACAUGUGUGUAAUUUUGCAUUCUAAAUGUGAUUUAUAUUUACAAAUAAAUUUGCAUAAAAUCUC